GACCUACGGGACGCAGCAGUGGGGAAUAUUGCACAAUGGGGGGAACCCUGAUGCAGCGACGCCGCGUGGGUGAAGGAGCACCUCGGUGCGUAAAGCCCUAUCGGCAGGGAAGAAACAGACGGUACCUGACUAAGAAGCCCCGGCUAACUACGUGCCAGCAGCCGCGGGAAUACGUAGGGGGCAAGCGUUAUCCGGAUUCACUGGGUGUAAAGGGAGCGUAGACGGCGACGCAAGUCUGGAGGGAAAGCCCGGGGCCCAACCCCGGGAACGCUCUGGGAACUGCGG
rnacentral:rRNA from 1 species